GACGAACCGUGCGAACGUUAUUCGGAAUCACUGGGCUUAAAGGGCGCGUAGGCGGGUUGCCAAGUCUGUGGUGAAAUCCUCCGGCUUAACCGGAGAACUGCCGUGGAUACUGGCGACCUCGAGGGGGGUAGGGGCUUGCGGAACUGUGCGUGGAGCGGUGAAAUGCGUUGAUAUGCACAGGAACUCCGGUGGCGAAGGCGGCGAGCUGGACCCUUUCUGACGCUGAGGCGCGAAAGCCAGGGGAGCAAACGGG
rnacentral:rRNA from 1 species